GCUUAUGGCGGCUUUGCGUGGGGCACCUUCGGGUGCGCCGGUUUUUGGUGAUUUUUCCCCGGUCUGCUAACCCGCGACAAAGCCGCCACCCUC
rnacentral:antisense_RNA from 2 species